rnacentral:lncRNA from 1 species
UUAAAACAAAACAAAAAAAAAUUGAUGGACAAAAAAUGGUGUGAGUGCAGGGGGCGCCAGGGUGCCCUUCAGGGGGCGCUGGGGAGCGACAAGUGCAGAACAGUGGCUGCAAAGUGUGUCUGGCAGUGGCAGGUGGCGCCGAGGCGCCCUAUAGGGGGCGCCUGGGCGCGAAUUAUGCAGAAAAAUCAGAUUUUGGUUCAGCAAUGCAAGAGUCACCCAGAACAUACAACAAUAUUAUCAACACAGCUUUCAACAAUCUAACUAAGCCACAAGCAGAGUUCAACAAAAAGAACACCAAAAAUACAAGUUCAAAAAAAAAUGAAAAGGAAAAAGAGUUAUCCAUACUUGAGUUGGAGUGGAUGGGAGUGAUUGUUGUGGAGACCGGACCUUGAGUGGAAUUGGUGAGUGGGUUAGGGGUUGUGGGGGAGAGGAAAAGUUUAGGAAAGGGAAGGGGAGAAUGGGUGGGUUGCAGUUGUUGAAAAAUAUAGGGUGAGUGGGAGAGAGGGUUAGGGUUUGAAAAUGAAAAGGGAGUGGCAGUGAGAGGGAAGAACGUGAGAGGACCUUGGUGGUGGUUGGGGCAAUGAAGAAGUGGAGAGGAAAAUGGGUGAGUGGUGCUGAAGAAAGGGGCGCUAGGGUUAGAGUGUGUGAGAGAGGCGUAAGGGGGAAAGGGGUGCUGGGGUUAACAAAGGAUUGGGCCAAGCGCUGUGCAAAAGAGGCCCAACUCAGAGAUCAGUUUUCUGCCAAGCCCACGCUGAGCGCCCCCCCAUGAGGUGCCUGGGCGCGAGGGGUGCAGCAGAACAGGGGCGCUG